AUUGAACGCUGGCGGCAUGCUUUACACAUGCAAGUCGAGCGGCAGCGCGGGGGGCAACCCUGGCGGCGAGCGGCGAACGGGUGAGGAAACCAUCGGAACGUGCCCGAGAGUGGGGGGAUAACGCCGCGAAAGCGGCGCUAAUACCGCAUAUUCUCUGAGGAGGAAAGUGGGGGGACCGCAAGGCCUCACGCUCCCGGAGCGGCCGAUGUCGGAUUAGCUAGUUGGUGGGGUAAAGGCUUACCAAGGCGACGAUCCGUAGCUGGUCUGAGAGGAUGAUCAGCCACACUGGGACUGAGACACGGCCCAGACUCCUACGGGAGGCAGCAGUGGGGAAUUUUGGACAAUGGGCGCAAGCCUGAUCCAGCCAUGCCGCGUGCGGGAAGAAGGCCUCGGUGUAACGCUUUGUC
rnacentral:rRNA from 1 species